UUGUGCGUCAGGCUGACUGCCGAGCAAGUGCAGCAGAGUGCAUAUAAAUACAACGAAAUAAGUGUUUAUUCCAAUUGUAUUGUAUUCUCCAGCAAAGUCGUAAAUCUAUUUUAUAAAUUGGCCAAAGUUGUAGAUAUGGGAGGAAAUAACGAUCAAAACGAAAAAAUCAAGACAGGUGCAACCGUCGGUGCAGUGGCUGGUACAGUUGCCGGGGCGACGGCGCUCGGGAGCUGCUUGGGUCCGCCGGGGGCAGUGCUUGGGGGCCUCUGGGGCUUAGGGCUGGGCAUGGCUUCAGGCGGCGCCAUGGGCUCCUACGCUGGCAGAAAGAAAUGAAAAUAAACAUAAGCGUUGUUCUAGUGCAGUAGAUGAUGGUGGCGAUCAGCAAGCGUACCACGGAAAUAAAAUAAUGGUCCCGCUUUUCAGCGCGAUUCGGGAGAUUUACUAGAUAUUAAAGAGUAAAGAUAUGUGACGUUCCACAGCAAAAGGUACCUUAUGGCGGCCGCAAUAAAAUUGGAGCGGCGUUAGUAGCGUAAGCGCCAACCCCCAUAAGGUACCUUUUGUCGUGGAACGUCACAUAUCUUUACUAUUUCAUAUCUAGAGAAUCUCUAAUUCAUUUCCCGAAUGGCGCCGUUUAUCACUUGUCGUGUCAUGCGUCAGUUUGCGUAUUUACUAGUUAUAACGUGACAGCUACGGCGACAGACGAUAAAGGGGCGGCCAUUUUUACCCUUCAGACCCGCUAGCAUAAGCUUCUCACGCGCGCGACUCCAUACAUCUAUCUCGAUUUCAAGUAUGGACUCGCGCGCGAGAACGCAUCUCAUGCUAGCCGGUCAAGGAGGCACUUCUGCGGUAACUACAAUGAUGCGUUUAUUGUUUGUCACCGUCAUCUAGAUCCAGCACAAUGCGAGCAAAAGCAGAUGUGAUGAUUUUAUUGGUACUUAUUCGUUAUAAACAGUUUAUAAAGGUUUAUAAAUAUAGAGAUGUUUUAGAAACCAUCCGAAAUAGACAAUGUAUCUACAUAAUACAUACAUAUAAUAAAUUAUGAACAUAUUUGUAAAAUAAUUAUAUGAUUCUUUGCAAAUAAAACUCUUAC